UACGGGGGGGGGCAAGCGUUGUUCGGAAUUACUGGGCGUAAAGGGCUCGUAGGCGGCCAACUAAGUCGGACGUGAAAUCCCCAGGCUCAACCUGGGAACUGCGUCUGAUACUGGAUGGCUUGAAUCCGGGAGAGGGAUGCAGAAUUCCAGGUGUAGCGGUGAAAUGCGUAGAUAUCUGGAGGAAUACCGGUGGCGAAGGCGGGUCUCUGGGCCGAUACUGACGCUGAGGAGCGAAAGCGUGGGGAGCGAACAGG
rnacentral:rRNA from 1 species